CUGCUGCCUCUAAGACAUUGCUCCCUUUCAGGACAAGCUUCCUCUGCACUGGCCCACAGUGCCCGAGCCUUUUCCCGAGCUCAGGGGCGAGACAGCAGAAUCUUCCUUCUUAACCGCACUGCCAUUCUCAACUGUUUCCCUGUUGGGUCUGCACUGAACUCCGAGUAUAUACUCAAACGUCCUGUGUCUCUUUCAGAUCCGAGUCGCAAAAGGGAUCUAGUGCCGAACCUGAAUUCAAAUCCAACCUCAGAUAGUUACUAGUUGUGUAACCCUGCGCCUCACAAAUUGAGUCACAGCCUCAAUUUUCUUAUCUGUAAAAUGGUAAUAAUAACUACCUCCAAGAGUUAUUGGGCACG